rnacentral:rRNA from 1 species
UCCUACGGGAGGCAGCAGUGGGGAAUAUUGGACAAUGGGCGCAAGCCUGAUCCAGCCGUGCCGCGUGAGUGAUGAAGGCCCUAGGGUUGUAAAGCUCUUUCGCCCGUGACGAUGAUGACGGUAACGGGAGAAGAAGCCCCGGCUAACUCCGUGCCAGCAGCCGCGGUAAUAAUCUC